AGCUCCAAUAGCGUAUACUAAAGUUGUUGCAGUUAAAAAGCUCGUAGUUGAAUUUCUGGUUGUGAAAGGCGGUCAGCCCCAAGGGGUUUGUACCUGCAGUUCGUAGCCAUCUUCGGAGAAUGCGUGUCUGUCAUUAAGUUGAUGGGCACGAGGACUCUGUCAUUUACUGUGAGCAAAAUAGAGUGUUCAAAGCAGGCAUUAUGCCAUUGAAUACAUUAGCAUGGAAUAAUAAGAUAAGACCUUGGUCUAUUUUGUUGGUUUGACUCCAAGGUAAUGAUUAAUAGGGACAGUUGGGGGUAUUCGUAUUCAAUUGUCAGAGGUGAAAUUCUUGGAUUUCUGGAAGACGAACUACUGCGAAAGCAUUUACCAUGGAUGUUUUCA
rnacentral:rRNA from 1 species